rnacentral:rRNA from 1 species
AACGAACGCUGGCGGCGCGUCUUAAGCAUGCAAGUCGAACGGCAAGAGACUGGCUUGCUUCUCUCCUCGAGUGGCGGACUGGUGAGGAACACGUGGGUAACCUACCCUUAAGAUUGGGAUAGCUUCUAGAAAUAGCAGGUAAUACCGAAUACACUCGCCAUAUCCCAAGUGGGGGUUAGGAAAGUAAGGCACGGCUUCACUUGAGGGUGGGCUGUCGUCGCAUUAGCUAGGUGGUGAGGUAACGGGCUAUCAAGGCGGCGAUGGGUAUCCGGACUCAGAGGGUGGACGACCACAUGGGGACUGGAAUAGGGCCAAAGCUCCUACGGGAGGCAGCAGCUAAGAAUAGUCCGCAAUGGACGGAAGUCUGACGGAGCGAGGCCGCGUGGAAGGAGAAGGCGGAAAAGUUGUAAUAACCGUUUGUUGAUGAAGAACAAGGGUGGGAUGGAAUGCACAGCUGGUGACGGUAAUCGACGAAUAAGCCCCGGCUAAGUACGUG